ACCAGCCCACACUGGGGCUGGGAUCCUGAUCUUUGGUCUGAAACAUGCAGCCAGGGCUUACCAUCUUUUGGAUGUGCAGGCUGCUGGGGGGCCUGAUCUUUGCCAGGGAGGUCUCUCACCAUUUUGCUCAGUUGAUAUUUUGUUCUUUCCUUUAUUCCUGAGCUGUUCAGCAUGAGGCGACUCAGAAGGAGCAUGAGCAGAGAUGACCCUAAUAGGUGGUGCCAACACAGUUUCCCUGAGAAGUUGAAAUCGAGGACUGGUGCCCACUGAGGAGGUCUGAGGAGAGGAGGACUCAGAGCAGCCAGCAGAAGGAGAGUGCAUGAGAUUAUAUAAAGACUCAGAGAAGAGAUACAGCUCCUCCCGCACCAGAGAAAUGCAGCUCCGUGAGCCCCGAUGGAGCCAGCAUGCUGCUGGGUGCUGAGGAGCAGGCAGAGGCACCCAGGAUGGCGGUCCCCAAGGAGAACGGAGGCACAGAACAACGCAUGAGGGGCCACAUGACUUAGGGCCGGGAUCGGUCACUCAGCCAGCAAAAACACUGGAAGAAAACAAAACAACUUCAGACUCUAUGCUGCAUUUCCGUAAUAUAUCUGCCCAAAGACUGGACAACAAAGGUAAAGGAGGCUGAUGAGGAAACGAAAGGAUCCGUGGUUCUUGGCUCGCUGGGUGGCUCAUCAACAAAGCCCCAGCAU
rnacentral:lncRNA from 1 species